rnacentral:tRNA from 1 species
UCCCUGAUAACUCAGUCAGUAAAGAAUCUGCCUGCAAUGCAGGAGACCCUGGUUUGAUUCCUGGGUUGGGAA